rnacentral:lncRNA from 1 species
AAUCUAAAGUCUCUUGCGCCCGAGAAUGCUCAUACUUCCCCUAUCUCUUAAUUUAUCAAUGGAUGUCAAAUGCUCCAAUACGAGGUCCUCCACCAUAUACUAAAAAUAGCAAACUUGAAAAUAGCAAACUUGUUAUUAUUCAGGAGCCAAAAUAGGAAAUAAAAUUAGAAAAUAAACGCCAUCAAUUAAUCAUAACAUGAUUUAACUUACAUUUUGCAACUUAAAAGUCAUCUACUCUUCAUUUUCCUUAACAAAGUUGGUGCUUGGUCAUUUUCAAUAUGUGAAAAGAAGUAUGGCAACGGAAAGAAAUUAAAAAAGACAUUAAAGUAUAAAUAUAGCAAAAAAUCAAACUGUUGGAGUGUUAAGAAAUGAAAAAUACAAAGAUGGUAUACCUUCAACAUAUAUUUUUGUAAUGGUGGCUGCAAUUGCCGUAUGUAGUUAGCAAGACUGAUAUAUAUUUCUUCCGCAUAUUUCCCUCCAAUGUUGGUCAUUUUUGACUAAUCUGUUUGUCAUAUUUAACUCUUUCAAAAAUAAUGAAAAAAUACGACACUAAACAAAACACAUAAAUGCUCUACAUAGUACAUAUCAUAAUAAACUCUUAUACAUUCAAAUCCACAAAACAAACAAAAGUGUGAGUUGUUAUACAAAUGAAAAAAUAAUAAAGAUGAUAUACAUUGAUGGAAAGUAGAAACGACAUAUACAUAAUCUAUUGUGGCAAAUUCUCAAUAAUUUCAUGAUAUGCAUGCAGAUUAUACAUGGUAUGAGUAACACAUAUAGGAAUAUAUCAUUAUGAAAAGAAUUUAAGAUUACCACUAGUAUUCACUGUGGUAUAUUGUUUUACGGGAAAAAAAAAUACUUAUGCUGCUUUUUAAUGGAAUAAAAGAGAAAUAAGUACCUGAUUGAAUAGUGUUUUUCUGGUGGAAAAUGUUUCCAAUCCCUGUAUAUUGAUAGUUAAGAAAAUUCAGUUAAUAAAUAACCAAACUAUAUCCACUUUAAAGAAAAUCAUAAACAAAUAAAUUUAUUACAUUAAAAGUUUUAGUUUAUUAUAUGAAAGCAUUUGAAAUCCGAACAUGGCUAUUAAUAUAAAUAACACCUAACACACAAACAAACUUUGAAAAGGCCAAUAGAGUCGGACACUUGUGGCACAAAUGAGGAUAUUUUGUCUUCCAUGAGAAAAUAUUGAGAUUGAUAACUGGCAAGAAAAGCUAAAACCAACCUCGUCGACAUUGUUUAGUGCAUGUAUACAAAUACAUUAUCGUACUUUUCGUUCGCUUAGUC